rnacentral:rRNA from 1 species
GACGAACGCUGGCGGCGUGCUUAACACAUGCAAGUCGAACGGAAAGGCCCUGCUUUUGUGGGGUGCUCGAGUGGCGAACGGGUGAGUAACACGUGAGUAACCUGCCCUUGCCUUUGGGAUAACUUCAGGAAACUGGGGCUAAUACCGGAUAGGAGCUCCUGCUGCAUGGUGGGGGUUGGUAAGUUUCGGCGGAUGGGGAUGGACUCGCGGCUUCUCAGCGUGUUGGUGGGGUAGUGGCUUACCACGGCUUUGACGGGUAGCCGGCCUGAGAGGGUGACCGGCCACAGUGGGAUUGAGAAGCGGGCCGGACGCCUACGGGAGGCAGCAGUGAGGAAUAGUGCAAAAUGGGCGGAGGCCUGAUGCAGCAACGCCGCGUGGGAGAUGACGGCCUUCGGGUUGGAAACCGCUUUCGCCUGUGACGAAGCGUGAGUGACGGUAAUGGGUAAGGAAGCAACGGCUAACUACGUG